rnacentral:lncRNA from 1 species
GAAUAGACCACUUUCGAGUUCAUCCAUCACCGGAAAAAACUCGUCAAUUAUAUGCGCCUUUAUGACGUCAUUUACCAGAUAGAGGGGGUCGCCUGUAUCCCUGCACUAUUUACGUUCAUCAAGCGUCUUAGUGAUCGUCAUUGUGCAGGAUAAACUAGAAAUAAUGGUUGUUCUGUAGGUACUUAAUGACAAUUCCCUUAUGACAGCAAUGCUGAUUGUCAAUUUUGAGAAUU